rnacentral:rRNA from 1 species
GACGAACGCUGGCGGCGUGCCUAACACAUGCAAGUCGAACGGAAAGGCCCUGCUUUUGUGGGGUGCUCGAGUGGCGAACGGGUGAGUAACACGUGAGUAACCUGUCCUUGACUUUGGGAUAACUUCAGGAAACUGGGGCUAAUACCGGAUAGGAGCUCUUGCUGCAUGGUGGGGGUUGGAAAGUUUCGGCGGUUGGGGAUGGACUCGCGGCUUAUCAGCUUGUUGGUGGGGUAGUGGCUUACCAAGGCUUUGACGGGUAGCCGGCCUGAGAGGGUGACCGGCCACAUUGGGACUGAGAUACGGCCCAGACUCCUACGGGAGGCAGCAGUGGGGAAUAUUGCACAAUGGGCGGAAGCCUGAUGCAGCAACGCCGCGUGCGGGAUGACGGCCUUCGGGUUGUAAACCGCUUUCGCCUGUGACGAAGCGUGAGUGACGGUAAUGGGUAAAGAAGCACCGGCUAACUACGUG